rnacentral:snRNA from 1 species
AUAUACGGAUACACCUGUUCCAA